rnacentral:rRNA from 1 species
GCCCCGGUAAACGGCGGCCGUAACUAUAACGGUCCUAAGGUAGCGAAAUUCCUUGUCGGGUAAGUUCCGACCUGCACGAAUGGCGUAAUGAUGGCCAGGCUGUCUCCACCCGAGACUCAGUGAAAUUGAACUCGCUGUGAAGAUGCAGUGUACCCGCGGCAAGACGGAAAGACCCCGUGAACCUUUACUAUAGCUUGACACUGAACACUGGUCCUUGAUGUGUAGGAUAGGUGGGAGGCUUUGAAGUGUGGACGCCAGUCUGCAUGGAGCCGUCCUUGAAAUACCACCCUUUAAUGGCUGGUGUUCUAACGUAGACCCGUGAUCCGGGUUGCGGACAGUGUCUGGUGGGUAGUUUGACUGGGGCGGUCUCCUCCCAAAGAGUAACGGAGGAGCACGAAGGUUAGCUAAUCCUGGUCGGACAUCAGGAGGUUAGUGCAAUGGCAUAAGCUAGCUUGACUGCGAGAGUGACGGCUCGAGCAGGUGCGAAAGCAGGUCAUAGUGAUCCGGUGGUUCUGAAUGGAAGGGCCAUCGCUCAACGGAUAAAAGGUACUCCGGGGAUAACAGGCUGAUACCGCCCAAGAGUUCAUAUCGACGGCGGUGUUUGGCACCUCGAUGUCGGCUCAUCACAUCCUGGGGCUGAAGUAGGUCCCAAGGGUAUGGCUGUUCGCCAUUUAAAGUGGUACGCGAGCUGGGUUUAGAACGUCGUGAGACAGUUCGGUCCCUAUCUGCCGUGGGCGCUGGAGAAUUGAGGGGGGCUGCUCCUAGUACGAGAGGACCGGAGUGGACGCAUCACUGGUGUUCGGGUUGUCAUGCCAAUGGCACUGCCCGGUAGCUAAAUGCGGAAAAGAUAAGUGCUGAAAGCAUCUAAGCACGAAACUUGCCCCGAGAUGAGUUCUCCCUGAGACUUUAAGUCUCCUGAAGGAACGUUGAAGACGACGACGUUGAUAGGUCGGGUGUGUAAGCGCAGCGAUGCGUUGAGCUAACCGAUACUAAUGAACCGUGAGG